UUUUUUAGGUUGCUGACCAAAGUAACAGUCUGGAUGAACUGAAAUUAUUGUGCAAGGAGUGCAAAGUACUGAAGCCUGUCCAAAAAGUGAUUUCUUCAUUUCUUGGAUGUAAAUGGGAAUUGCUUAGUGCAAAAUUGGGAGAGAAAGUCAGCGUUGACCAGUUAAGGAAAUUUACAGGAAAAGAUGAAACCAGCCUUAUUUUCAGACAAUACUUGGAAUAUCUGCAAAAGAGUCUGACCAUCGAGGAAUCAGACCAGCCACUAGUUGUAUCACCCAAUGUAUUUCUGAUGGACCAGGGAACAAGGGGCGUUGUCCACAUGUGUGUUGACCCACUGGGACUGCAGCAAGGGUCAUACGGGCAAGAAAAAGGAUUUUCAUUAGCCUUAUGUAAGCUUUCACCACAUCAGGUUUGCUGGACCUAGUGGACCGUUUAAAUUUUGGUGUGUGCCACAUUUUCAACGUAGCAAUAAUGGGGGAUAUCCAUCAAUUAAUGGAAAUAAAAAAUGGAUCGAGGAACACCGUGGAAUCUGCGAACUUGGUUUCGCAUGUGUUAAAGGAGUUAAACCAUCAGGUCCUAGCCUUGGUAUGGUACGGGCUGUAGAGGGGUUUCUCCUCUACCAUGCGGCGCCUGGGCAACGGCUGCUGCAAGAUCAUUUUAAUUUCACUGCCUGCACUGAGAAUUUUAAUAUUGUAAGUCAAGAGC